UAUAAUAUGCAUUAUCUAAAUACAAGUACCAUAAAAUAACACAAGUUCAUCGACUGAGAACAACAUUACAAGUUCUACAAAUACUCCGAUGAUCUUGGUUGCAACUAGAACCAGACAGACCUGUCCUGCUUCGGUUCUGUGUAAUCUGUACCCAAAGAAGACCCAAACAUCAUUUUGAAACAAUCUUGCUGACCAAUGUUAUUGGAAUGGUGAGCUUGUUGUGAAUGGGUUAUGUUAGAAUCGAAUCCAUAGUGAAGAAAGUUGUUUUCUUGAAACUGGAUGAUUGACUGACCACGAAACGAUUGCAAUUUUCUGCGGGUUGAGAUCCGUGUUAUUUCCUUGAAACUGGAUGCUUGAUGGUCAAAGAAACGGGUCAGGCUGCGUGUUGUUUUCUUGAAACUGGAUGCUUGAUUGUUGAAGAAACGGGUCGUUUGAGCCAAAAUGAUUUCUGGGGUACUCCAAGAACCGUUGGAUCAAAAGAAGACAGUGCAGGUUCGACCAUUAACGAACCACCAGCUUGCAUUGGCUGGACGAAAUUAAAGUUAGGAACCCCGACAAACUGAGCCGAUGAGCCACGGGCUCUAUAUGGGCAGUUCAUCUGAUGAUUCUCUCGAGGGUCGGUCCAGAAACCCAUUAAGAGGUUGGUUAUAAGGACAAUUCAAGAACUCGCAAGUGUAGAUCUUGUGCUCAACUACUUGGUUUGCUGGAGGGGUUUUCCUCUUUCUAGGGGGUCACAAGUGUGGAGAGUUUAUGUUUGCUAUGUGGGCACUGGGCAGGAUCCAAGUCUUCAAUCCACAAGGUGGUUGACGACAUAAAGAAGACGACGUACCGGUGAAUAAACAACUGGGUGGCAUUAGAAGAAUGGAGUAAAUUUGGUGACACAAAUCUUGGUAUGUAAUGUUCUACUUGUCUGUUGAGUUCUGUUUUUUGGUUGGAUGUUAGGUAGCAUUGGCGCAUACAAUUGGUCAUUUGUGUGAAUUUAUUGAAAUUCUAAUAAGUUGUGCCA